GACGAACGCUGGCGGCGUGCUUAACACAUGCAAGUCGAACGGAAAGACCCUGCUUUUGUGGGGUGCUCGAUUGGCGAACGGGGGAGUAACACGUGAGUAACAUGCCCUUAACUUUGGGAUAACUUCAGGAAACUGGGGCUAAUACCGGAUAUGAGCUCCUGAUCCAUGGGGGGGAUUGGUAAGAGUCGGCCGUGGGGGAUGGACUCGCUGCUUAUCAGCUUGUUUGUGGGGUAGGUGCGGACCAAGGGUAUGACGGGUAGCCGGCCUGAGAGGGUGGCCGGCGACCUUGGGCCUGCGGUACGGCCCAGAAGGCUACGGGGCGCAGUGGUGGGGAAUAUUGCACAGUGGGCGGACGCCUGAUGCAGCAGCGCUGCGUUCGUGAUGACGGCUUUCGGGUUGUAAACAGCUUUCUAAUGUGACGAAGCCGUCGUGACGGUAAUGGGUAAAGAAGCACCGGCUAACUACGUG
rnacentral:rRNA from 1 species